UACGUAGGGUGCAAGCGUUGUCCGGAAUUAUUGGGCGUAAAGAGCUCGUAGGCGGUUCGUCGCGUCGGCUGUGAAAUCCCGAGGCUCAACCUCGGGUCUGCAGUCGAUACGGGCGGACUGGAGUUCGGCAGGGGAGACUGGAAUUCCUGGUGUAGCGGUGAAAUGCGCAGAUAUCAGGAGGAACACCGGUGGCGAAGGCGGGUCUCUGGGCCGAUGACUGACGCUGAGGAGCGAAAGCGUGG
rnacentral:rRNA from 1 species